UCGAAUUAUAAUCCGGCGAGGGCGAAGGGGGGAGCUGUCGCUGGCCUUUUACUAGGCAUGUGCACGCUUUCCUUCGAGUCUUCGCCUUAUGGGCGCGGGGCGACCCGCGUCUUCAUAUACCUCUUCGUGUAGAAAGUCUUUGAAUGUUUAUACUAUCAUCGAGUCGCGACUUCUAGGAGACGCGGUUCUUUGAGACAAAAGUUAUUA
rnacentral:misc_RNA from 1 species